GCCCCCGUCGUCUAAUGGCAGGACUUUUGGUUUUCAGCCAAACAACGCCGGUUCGAUUCCGGUCGGGGGUU
rnacentral:tRNA from 1 species